rnacentral:misc_RNA from 1 species
GAUGAAGAACGUAGCGAAAUGCGAUAAGUAGUGUGAAUUGCAGAAUUCAGUGAAUCAUCGAAUCUUUGAACGCACAUUGCGGCCAUAGGUAUUCCUUUGGCCAUGCCUGUUCGAGCGUCAUUUACACCCUCAAGCCUAGCUUGGUGUUGGGCGUCUGUCCCGCCGUUCUCGCGCGCGGACUCGCCUCAAAGUCAUUGGCGGCGGUCGUGCCGGCCCCCUCGCGCAGCGCAUUUGCGCUUCUCGGAGGCCCGGCGGAUCCGCGCUCCAGCAAGACCUUUCACGACUUGACCUCGGAUCAGGUAGGGAUACCCGCUGAACUUAAGCAUAUCAAUAAGCGGAGGA